rnacentral:rRNA from 1 species
CCUACGGGUGGCAGCAGUGAGGAAUAUUGGUCAAUGGACGAGAGUCUGAACCAGCCAAGUAGCGUGAAGGAUGACUGCCCUAUGGGUUGUAAACUUCUUUUAUAAAGGAAUAAAACGAGGCACGUGUGCCUUUUUGCAUGUACUUUAUGAAUAAGGAUCGGCUAACUCCGUGCCAGCCGCCGCGGUAAUACGGAGGAUCCGAGCGUUAUCCGGAUUUAUUGGGUUUAAAGGGAGCGUAGAUGGGUUGUUAAGUCAGUUGUGAAAGUUUGCGGCUCAACCGUAAAAUUGCAAUUGAUACUGGCAGUCUUGAGUACAGUUGAGGUAAGCGGAAUUCGUGGUGUAGCGGUGAAAUGCGUAGAUAUCACGAAGAACCCCGAUUGCGAAGGCAGCUUACUAGACUGUGACUGACACUGAUGCUCGAAAGUGUGGGUAUCAAACAGGAUUAGAUACCCGGGUAGUC